GGUAUGGGAUGAGCUUGCGUCCGAUUAGCUAGUUGGCGGGGCAACGGCCCACCAAGGCGACGAUCGGUAGCCGGCCUGAGAGGGUGAUCGGCCACAUUGGGACUGAGAUACGGCCCAGACUCCUACGGGAGGCAGCAGUAGGGAAUAUUGCACAAUGGGGGAAACCCUGAUGCAGCAACGCCACGUGUGGGAAGAAGCAUUUCGGUGUGUAAACCACUGUCUUGAGGGAAUAAGGCCCGCCUCCGGGCGGGAUUGAAUGUACCUUGAGAGGAAGCACCGGCAAACUUCGUGCCAGCAGCCGCGGUAAUACGAGGGGUGCAAGCGUUGUUCGGAAUUACUGGGCGUAAAGGGAGCGUAGGCGGAGAUUCAAGCGGAUUGUACAAUCCCGGGGCCCAACCCCGGCUCUGCAGUCCGAACUGGAUCUCUUGGAUAGUUCAGGGGCAGGC
rnacentral:rRNA from 1 species